rnacentral:rRNA from 1 species
AUUGAACGCUGGCGGCAGGCUUAACACAUGCAAGUCGAGCGGAGAUGAGGUGCUUGCACCUUAUCUUAGCGGCGGACGGGUGAGUAAUGCUUAGGAAUCUGCCUAUUAGUGGGGGACAACAUUCCGAAAGGAAUGCUAAUACCGCAUACGUCCUACGGGAGAAAGCAGGGGAUCUUCGGACCUUGCGCUAAUAGAUGAGCCUAAGUCGGAUUAGCUAGUUGGUGGGGUAAAGGCCUACCAAGGCGACGAUCUGUAGCGGGUCUGAGAGGAUGAUCCGACACACGGGGACGGAGACACGCCCCAGACGCCUAAGGGAGGCAGCAGUGGGGAAUAUUGGACAAUGGGGGGAACCCUGAUCCAGCAAUGCCGCGUGUGUGAAGAAGGCCUUAUGGUUGUAAAGCACUUGAAGCGAGGAGGAGGCUACUGAGACUAAUACUCUGGGAUAGUGGACGUUACUCGCAGAAUAAGCACCGGCUAACUCUGUGCCAGCCGCCGCGGUAAGAC